UACGAGGGGGGCAAGCGUUGUUCGGAAUUAUUGGGCGUAAAGGGCGCGUAGGCGGUGCGGUAAGUCACCUGUGAAACCUCUAGGCUUAACCUAGAGCCUGCAGGCGAAACUGCCGUGCUUGAGGGUGGGAGAGGUGCGUGGAAUUCCUGGUGUAGCGGUGAAAUGCGCAGAUAUCAGGAAGAACACCCGUGGCGAAGGCGGCUCUCUGGGACGGUACUGACGCUGAGACGCGAAAGCGUGGGGAGCGAACAGG
rnacentral:rRNA from 1 species